AACAAACGCUAGCGGCGCGUCUUAAACAUGCAAGUCGAACGGAAAGGCCCUUCGGGGUACUCGAGUGGCAAACGGGUGAGUAGCACGUAGGUAAUCUGCCUUGGGAUGGGGGACAACUUCGGGAAACUGAAGCUAAUACCGCAUACGUCUGGAGAGUCCCCGGAUUCUCCAGAGAAAGAUUUAUCGUCCCAAGAUGAGCCUGCGCUUCAUUAGCUUUAAUCGUAAGGUAAUGGCUUACGAUAGCGACGAUGAAUAGCCGGCCUGAGAGGGUGAUCGGCCACACUGGAACUGAUACACGGUCCAG
rnacentral:rRNA from 1 species